rfam:Picea glauca, whole genome shotgun sequence.
GGGUGUGAUCAUACCAGCGUUAAUGCACCGGAUCCCAUCAGAACUCCGCAGUUAAGCUCGCUUGGGCCAGAGUAGUACUGGGAUGGGUGACCUCCCGGGAAGUCUUGGUGUUGCACCCU